rnacentral:hammerhead_ribozyme from 1 species
CUUCUGCUGAGGAGUGCCACAAUAGGACGAAACGGCCGUUCAGUGC